AUCCUACAUUUAGUUUUUUUUUCUAUAAAUAAAGCCCCUCAAGAAGAACUUAAAAGAACAAAAAAGUCCAAUAGAUACAUAAAUUGUUCUUCAAUUUAUCUUCAAAGUUCAAACAAGAAUUAUUGAAGAUGGAACUUAUAUGUGGUAAAAAAAGAAGCAAAGAGACUGCUGAUUUGUCAAGGUUUUGCACUGAAAUCAACACCAAUGCUUGAAGCUCACAAUUACGAGAAAUAUAUGGAAAUUGAACUUUUACAUGUCGUAGCAGGUAAUAGUUUUAUUUUCGAGUUAUUUUUUUAAAUUAUGAAUGAGUAUUUAUAUAUAUAUAUAUAUAUAUAUUUAUAUAUAUAUCUUUUGUCUUUUAUGUAAUAAAUACAAUGUAAAAGUUUAAUAUACUGAAAUUAUUAUUA